GCUGCAUAGCAUCAACGGCGUACUGACGCAGUUCUAGUAAAGCGAAUGAUUAGAGGUCUUGGGGGCGAAAAGCCCUCAACCUAUUCUCAAACUUUAAAAUUGGUAAGAAACCCGACUCGCUUGUUUGAAGCCGGGCAUGGAAUGCGAGUGCCAAGUGGGCCACUCUUGGUAAGCAGGACUGGCGAUGAUUCA
rnacentral:ncRNA from 1 species